CGUCAGUGCAGUGUCAAUAACUAACCACUACCAAGAGCUCGUUCCUUUUUCAUUUGGCUAGGCUAUAAAAAAAAAAAUCCCCAGCAUAUACAUAGAUACAGACAGACAGACAUACAUACAUACAUACAUAUUUAUUUUACUCAUCCCUCUGGAUCCAAUGAAAAAGCCAGUAUCUUCAUACUGGACAUCGACUUGGAUGUUUGAAGUGUGAAACCGUAGUGUUGCAUUGUUCCGCGGUAGAAAUGCGCCGGUGGCGGCGCUGGACGCAGAUGCUAUGACAGCCAUGAUCCGUGUCUAACGGGAGAGGGUGUAGUCUACAUGGAACCACAACACUGAUGAGAGUGUAAGAUCUUUUGACUGGAUUUCGCAAAAUAACAUCGUGUAGUCGGGGAAGCGCCUAUCGUAUUGCGGAGGGGGACAUUUCUUUUGUUUAUCUGGGAGAGAUCAGUGCAUCUGGAGUAUUGUAGGAUGCAAAGGUGUUUCUCUGAGAAACAAAGAUGAGCGUGACAUCGUGGUUCCUGGUCAGCAGCUCUGGUACUCGUCACCGUCUGCCACGGGAAAUGAUCUUUGUUGGCCGGGAAGACUGCGAGCUAAUGCUGCAGGUAGGAUUUUAAUUUGCCCUUGCACUGAAAUGUUAAAAAAGUAUGUCUUAACCACAUUUGUGAAUGCACCAGGAACUGUUACCUAGCAAGUAUAAGUACAAAUAUUUCUGCAAAUAAUAUGUUGAAUAUUGAAUAUAAAUAUCAUCUUCUGUAGGAAACAGACAAAAUGGUCUACAAAGCUUGCACUACAGCUGUAGUACUUUGUGCUGUGUCAUGCUGAAGUACUGCUGUUCAGGGCCGGAUUAAAGGGACACUCCACCCCAAAAUGAUAAUUUUGUCAUUAAUCACUUACCCCCAUAUCGUUCCAAACACAUAAAAGCUCUGUUUGUCUUCUGAACACAAUUUAAGAUAUUUUCCACGCCACAAGGAUGCGCUGUUUUCUUUUAAAUCAAAGCUAAAUAGAUGUAGAAACAGCGCGUCCUUGUGGCGCGGAUGAUACAGAGGAGCAUACACAGCAUACAUGAUAUGGAGAAACACAGAGGAGACUGUUGAAAAGGAAUUGUUGAAUAAAGUCGUUAAUUUUGUUUUCUUUGCUUACA
ensembl:lncRNA